rnacentral:rRNA from 1 species
AGUCUGCAACUCGACUACAUGAAGCUGGAAUCGCUGUAAUCGCGGAUCAGAAUGCCGCGGUGAAUACGUUCCCGGGUCUUGUACACACCGCCCGUCACACCAUGGGAGUCGAUAACGCCCGAAGUCAGUGACCCAACCUGUAAGGAGGGAGCUGCCGAAGGCGGGAUUGAUAACUGGGGUGAAGUCGUAACAAGGUAGC